UCCAGUGACGAUGGCAAAGAGGCCACACCCGUUCCCAUCCCGAACACGGCAGUUAAGCUCUUUUGCGCCGAUGGUAGUUGGGGGUCUCCCCCUGUGAGAGUAGGACGUCGCUGGUC
rnacentral:rRNA from 2 species